UCCUGACUUAAUGAAACAUAGUAAAGUG
rnacentral:sRNA from 1 species